GUCCGAGCCAAAAUUUUAGGUCAGGUAACCGAAUCUUAAGUUCUCGUUCUACGACUGCCGUCGCUGCCUAUUUUCGGCGACUUUUCCACAGCUUCCAGGUUGCUGUAUUCCUGACAGCAUUGCUUCUUGUCUGCAUUUGAUAUGGCAAGGUUGGUGUGUUAACCUGAAGGAUUUUGUUAUUUUAGGUACUUUAUGAAAGGUGUCUCUAUGAUUAUAACAAGAGUCACAGGAGGUAAGUUUCAAUUUUCUUUGUUCUUUCUUUCUUCACCACCACCCCCCCCCCCCCCCCCCCCCCCCCCCCCCCGGGUGCGGGAAUUAUGAACUUGGGUGGAUAUUUGGUAGAAAAUGGCUCUAAAGUUCUGCACCCUUUGAUAUUAAUACAAGGGAACAGGGGAAGAACCUAAUCUUUUGAUUAUUGGUGGUAUUAAUUUAUGCCAUUCAGCAUGAGGUCCAACAAUAUUCAUUUUUUCUUUUUCACCAUAUUUUAGAUUCUUGAAUUCUAUGAUAAGACUAAAAAGUCUUUUGUUGAAUUUCUACACAUCAUACUUAGGGGAGAGCCCUAUAGCUUUUGGGUAUGUUACAUCUUCGAUGGACAGCUUGGAUCAAGUUUCUUAAUUUGCUUUGAUUUUUAGAUGCAUCCAACAUUAUGUUUUUUCAACAUGGUCCAAAGCAAAGAUGAUUAGGCUUUUAAUCAUACACAUUUCAAAGCAGUCUCAUUCAAAUAAGUAGACAAAAAAAGUGUUUCUUACCUCAUAGUGGGCACAACCAGAAAAGCUAUGUGUUUGGGAUAGGCUUGAUCAACAAUGUGAUAAAGGUGCCUCAAAGUGAUACCAACACUCGCAACAUAGGCAUGAGAUGGAUCUAUGGCAAGCAAUAGCUGGUGAAAGUAGAAUAAUCAAAUACCUUGAUCUUUCGAUGAUAAUAGUUCAUUGUAUCACAGAUGGGAUUUGCACUUCUCUUUUUAUAUUUCAGUUAUAUAACUAAAAGGGCAUAAAAAAUAUCACAAUGUGCUUUGCUGUUCUGUUAACUGUGACUGAGUCAGUAACUGAUUUGGACCACGUUGAAAUAGUGUAUUAAAUUAAAGGACUGCCUUUGUUUUGUAAAAGAAUGAGGAUGAAAUGGAUCGACUCGUUGAAGUUUGAGGACCAACAGAGGAAUUAAUCCUAAAUUUUUCCUCCUUUCUGAUUGAAAAAUAGUUAUGAUCAUUGUUGUCUUAAAUUUUGCUAGAAGUUUUUAAAUUUUGGUCAGAAAAUUCCAGAUUUUGGUCAACUUUGGAAGGAAUUAACAACAUUAACGUAUUUGCAGGAUUCCACCGAAAGAUUUCUGGAAAUUUUGGUAUGGUUCAUGUACUGCAGUGUUUUGGGUAUCUUGUUCUGUUUAAAAAAAAUCUAAAAACCCAAACUGAUUUGUAGCUGAUUUGCUGAUCUAGAAGCAAGCAUUUUUUUUCUUUUGAUAACCUGAGAAUUCCAGCCACCAUCGUGCCACUUUGGACACUAUAGUGCGGCACCAAAGGGUGAAAGCCGCCCGCCCAUUGAUGUUAUUUUAUGUUGGUUCUAUUGAAGAAUGUUAUUUUAUGUUGGUUCUAUAAAAAAUGUUCUUUUAUGUUGGUUAUAAAAAAUUCUGUGUGUUUUGUUUUGAUUUAAGAUACCAAUGCCUUUACAUUACUGAUGUAGAUGUUAUAUUUCAUGCAAAAUAUAUAAAAUUACUAUUCAUUUUCAUGCAUAUAAUGAUGAGUGAGUUGUCUUUCUGUCUUUUUUUUUUUUUUUGAAUUUUAACUCUAGUUUUGCUUUACUUCUUCCUUUAUUUUUUAUUUUUAUAAAUAAAUCCAUGGCAAACCACAAUUUAUACACCAUAAAUACUUCAGUCUUAUGAUAUGUGUUUUCUCAACCUUAUUUUUGUUCCAAAAUUUUCAAAAGAAAAUUUCCAUCAUUAGUAUGAGAUUCCACUAUGAAUUGGAAUUUAAAUUUAAUACCUUAAUUUUAAUUAAUGGUAAUGCAUCUAUAAUUUUGGGUAAUAAGGAGACAUAGCAUGAAGAGGCUGGAGAUGCUUGAAUAAUUGGAAUAUUGCUCGAGUAGUUGGAAUAUCUGAGAAUCAGAUUAUGACCAUCGAUAAUGAAUGACACUGCUUUAUAUUUUCCAGAGUUAUUGACUGUUGAUAAUUCAUUGCUCAAAUUUCAAUUUCCAUCAAUGCAAUGCAUCAUAAUGGGUCUCAGACAUUUGAUUCUGCCUAAACACUUUCUAAAGGACUGCCUUCUGUAUUCCUGUUUUAUAUUUAUAACCUGUUCAAUCUAUUUUCCUGAUUCACUGUGUAUUAGAGCUUCACGUUGAGAAAAUUUUCUCGUGAGGUUUAGACCAGUGAUAUAGCAAUACAGAGUUUCUGAAAUUCCUUUGAUCGUGAAAUGAUCACUUGGAAGAAGUCUUAAGACGAUGAUCACUCAGACAUGUGAAGACAAAUCUUUUGCUGAAUCACUUGAAUCCUUGGCACAUUCAAUGAGUGGUUCUUUCUAUUUUUAAUUAUAGGUUCAGCCCUUCUUUAUAAUAGUCAUUGUUAUAGCUUGAUAUACAAUUGUUGACCUGCAACUAACAGCUUAAACUUUUAGAUGUAUUGCUGAUCUACAGCGAAUGAGAGCCAUUGUUUUUUGCAUGUGCUCAGAUUGGUUUGCUUGUGUUUAUGGUUUAUUUAAAAUUAUAUUAUUCCCUAUGGUGGUUAUUCAUAAUUUUUUUUUUUAUAUCCACAUGCCAUCUGGCUGCAAGUGCUGGAGAGUAAAGCUUGAUAUAUAUUGCUAGCCAACAACCUAACUGCUUAGUCAAAAGAGUGAUCAACCCUUGGACAUCACUGAUGAGAGAUGGGAGCUUGAAAUCAUAGGCCUUUACAUGCUGCAGCCUAAUUUUUGAGUUCUUGUUAUCAUUAUAGCCUGGAUUUUAAGGUCCAUGUAGAAGUCAAGACUGGGUUGUAUAAUUCCCUCCGAAGAAGGCACAUGAGCCUAAACGAGUAAAAAUAGGUCUGCAAAUUAAUAAAUUCAAGAAUGCUAUUGGAUUUUUUGGCAUUGACCAACAAGAAUGAGAAGAACCUAGGGAUGUGUGUCCUGAGUUCAGAAGAUCUGCAAUCCAAAUAUUAAGCUUAACAUGUAGUUCGUGUGGAUAUAUGAGAAAAGAAAAGUGCAUAAGAGGGGAAGAAAACAUCUACGUCAAAAUAAGAUGAAUGAUUUGGUAAUGUACUUCUAAACCUAAAAGAAAGACAAGUCUGGCAGAAGCUGAUUUUAAAGCUUCAAAUAUGUGUUGUCCUGGUCGAUUAUGAAAGCACAACAGAACCCAAAUGAAAGAUGGUUGGAUGUUCUUGAUGGGGGAAUUUGUAAGCAAGCCUCCAAUGGUGAUGAAAGUUAGAAUCUUGGGAUGAUUGGAGAUUAUCACGACUUUACAAGAAGCACGUGGUUAAUGUUGGCACUCAAAAUUAAGAUGAAAUGGGAAUCCAUGAAGAUGAUGGUGAUGAUAAUGAAGCUGAUGAACAUAUAACUGAUUCUAGAAAUGAAGCAACCCUAAACCUUAAAUCCUAAACCCUAAACCUUCUACAUUUGAUGAUGAUGAGGUUAGACUGAUAUUGUUGAUUGGCUAGAUGAAGGCGUUGAUGAUAAUAUGGAAGAACUUAAUGUGUGCGGCUUAGAUUGUGAUUGAAGUAUUAAUAUAUUUUUUAGAUGUUAUGUAGCAUGAAACAAUUGCAAUUUGACAUUGAGUUUUAAGCGUGGAUAAUCUUGUUAGAUUUUAC